rnacentral:rRNA from 1 species
GGCCUACCAUGGUGGUAACGGGUAACGGGGUGUUAGGGCACGACACCGGAGAGGGAGCCUGAGAAACGGCUACCACAUCCAAGGAAGGCAGCAGGCGCGCAAAUUACCCAAUCCCGACGCGGGGAGGUAGUGACAAUAAAUAACAAUACAGGGUUCUUUAGGAUCUUGUAAUUGGAAUGAGUACAAUUUAAAUCUCUUAACGAGGAACAAUUGGAGGGCAAGUCUGGUGCCAGCAGCCGCGGUAAUUCCAGCUCCAAUAGCGUAUAUUAAAGUUGUUGCAGUUAAAAAGCUCGUAGUUGAGGUAAUUCCAGCUCCAAUAGCGUAUAUUAAAGUUGUUGCAGUUAAAAAGCUCGUAGUUGAAUUUCGGGAUCAAUGGGUUGGUCAUGCCCUCGGUAUGUACUGAUUUCAUUGGUUCUCACCUAAGGAACCAUGAUGUCAUUUAUUUGAUGUUGUGGGAAAUUAGGACUGUUACCUUGAAAAAAUUAGAGUGUUUAAAGCAGGCUAACGCUUGAAUACAUUAGCAUGGAAUAAUGAAAUAGGACAUCCGAUUCUAUUUUGUUGGUUUCUAGGAUCGAUGUAAUGAUUAAUAGGGAUAGUUGGGGGCAUUAGUAUUCAAUUGUCAGAGGUGAAAUUCUUGGAUUUAUUGAAGACUAACUACUGCGAAAGCAUUUGCCAAGGAUGUUUUCAUUAAUCAAGAACGAAAGUUAGGGGAUCGAAGACGAUCAGAUACCGUCGUAGUCUUAACCAUAAACUAUGCCGACUAGGGAUCGGAUGAUGCUUAUUUUUUAAUGACUCAUUCGGCACCUUACG